rnacentral:lncRNA from 1 species
UGGCAUGUUUCAUGUUCUUUACUUAAAGCAUAAACUUGUUCGACUGUUUUCACAUGGGUGGUUGACUUGAAACUAGAAAGUGACCAUUUUUUCUUAUAAAUUUAUUGACUAGGAAUUUUAGGAACAUUCCAAUCUUUAUAAUCCAUUUCAUUAUUAGAAUUGUAUUCUAUUUGUUCUUCAUUAACUAUCUCUAGGAGUUUACUAAUACUGGCUCUAGAACUGCUAGAGUUACAAGAGUUAGUUCUAAAUAAACGACUCAUCAAGGCUACUGGUUUUUCUUACAAAGGGUAAGAAGCAGGCUAGCUAUCCUAUAAGAGACUCAAAGGUUCCUGGGAACUAAAGGGUUCUCUCUUUCUCCGCUCAUGCAGCAUCCACUCAUGCCUCACCUGGGACUUAUUGUUUGGAAUCUAGGACUUAUUGUUUGGACCGGGAGAGAAGACUUGGUUAACAGGAAGACUCUGAAAAAGCUACAGAAUAAAAGUAAACUUCAAACACUGAGAAGAUGACCAGUGAGUUUAGACUUUGAGAAGCCGAUUUAGACUGACUCUUCAACACUUAGGGCUCUGAUACCAGAAGGGGAUCUAGAACCAG